rnacentral:misc_RNA from 1 species
AACGAGGCCGACCUGCGGCUGAGUUACCUGCGGAGGGAUCAUUACCGAGUUUACAACUCCCAAACCCCUGUGAACAUACCUAUACGUUGCCUCGGCGGAUCAGCCCGCGCCCUGUAAAAAGGGACGGCCCGCCCGAGGACCCUAAACUCUGUUUUUAGUGGAACUUCUGAGUAAAACAAACAAAUAAAUCAAAACUUUUAACAAUGGAUCU